CCUGCCCUAUAAUUGAUAGUCCACGAGUUUUUAUACUUAUUUUAUAUUAAUUUACAUAUCGUCGUAGUUUGAAUAUUUUUUAAAAAGUAUAAUAUUCAUAAAUUUUUAUAUUAGAUAGAAAAUCAGAUCAAGAUGUAGUUUAUAAAUAAGAAGAGGUGGGUUACAAUAAAUUUAUUUAUUGCGGAUUAAUAAAUUAAAUUUAUUAUGAAGAUGGAUUUGAAAGUAAUAUUAUUAAAAUUAAUAAUAUGAUUUUAGCUCUAAAAUAUGUACAUAUCGCCCGUCACUUUCACUUUAAAGUGAAAUAAGUCGUAACAUAGUAGGUAUACUGGAAAGUGUACCUAGAACGAUCAAAUUAAAGCUUUAUUUAAGCAUUUUAGUUACAUUAAAAAGUUUAUUGUAAAUUCAAUAUAGUUUGAUUUUAAUAUAUUAUUUUAAUUUUAAGUGUUAAAUUUUAUUUAAAAAAAAAAAAUUUUUUUUUUAUUAAGAAUUUUGAAUAAAUUAAUUUAAUUAUAGUUUAUUAGUAUUGUAAAAGAUUUAUUUUAUAUAAUUAAAAGAAGAAUUAAUAUUUUGUACCCUUGUGUAUCAGGGUUUAUUAAUUAAAUAUUUAUUAUUAAAUUAUCUCGAAUUAAUAAGAGUUAUUAUUAUAUAUUUAUUUUGUUGAAUAAAAACUAUUAAUAUAAUAAUAGAAGUGAAAUGCUAUACGAUUAUUAAUAUAUCUAGUUUUUUAAGAAAAAAAUUUAAUUUUUUUAUUAUUUGAAUAUUUAAUUUAUUAAAUAAUUUUAUAUUGUUAAUAUAUUAUAUUUUAAGGGAUAAGCUUUAAUUUAUAUUGAUUUUAAGAAAUUUAUGGUAUAUUAUUUAAGUAGGAUUGUAAGUUUUUAUCUUUAAAAUUGUGUUGUAACUAUUUUAAUUUAAAAUAUAAUUUAUAUUUUCUUAAAUUAUUUUAUUAAAAUUUAAAUUUUAAUAUAAAAAAUUUAGUAAUAAUGAUAGAAUUAGUAUAAUAAUUUUGUAUUUAAUUAUAUUAUUAAUAGGUCAAGUAAAGGAAUUCGGCAAAUUAUUUUUCACCUGUUUAUUAAAAACAUGUCCUUUUGAUUAUAAUUUAAGGUCUAACCUGCCCAAUGAAUAUUUAAAUGGCCGCGGUAUUUUGACCGUGCAAAGGUAGCAUAAUCAAUAGUUUUUUAAUUGAAAGCUUGAAUGAAAGGUUGAAUGAAAAAAUAACUGUCUCUAUUUGAAUUAAUUAAAAAUUUAUUUUUAAGUAAAAAAGCUUAAAUAUUAUUAGAAGACGAGAAGACCCUAUAGAGUUUUAUUAUUGUUAUUAAUAAAAUUAUAAGAAUUUAU
rnacentral:rRNA from 1 species